AUGAGCGGCGAGCCGGCAGAGGCGACUCCGGCAGUGGUGGUGGUGGGUUCGCGGUUCUGCGCGCCGGCCGCCACGGCGUUCGCGGUGACCAAGACGAUCAGCGUGACGGGGCGUGACUUCACCGUCACGGACGCCCACGGCGCGGCGGUGAUGCAGGUGGAGGCGGCCGUCUUCAGCUUCCUCCAGCACCGCUCCCUCCUCCUCGACGCGGCGUCGCGCCGCCCCGUGCUCACCCUGCAGGACUCCACCUACCUCGCGAGCACGAGGUGGGAGGCGUACAGGGGGGACAGCACCAGCCGGAGGAAUCUGCUCUUCGUCGCGGUGAAGACCGCGCCCGUGCAGCUCGCCAGGACCAAGGUGCGCGUGUUCCUCGCCGGCAACGGCUCUGGCGAGCGGGUCCCGGACUUCGUCAUCGGCGUGUGCAUGGUCUCUGCUGGAGGCGGCGGCGGCGACGACUCCGAUGGCAACAUCGUCGCGCGGAUCAGCCGCCAGAACACGGCCGGCGGCGCGUUCCUCGGGAGGCACACGUAUACCGCGAGGAUCAACCCCGGCGUCGACCAGGCGUUCAUCCUCGCGCUCACCGUGAUUCUCGACCAGAUGCAUCACUAG
rnacentral:rRNA from 1 species